UUCGCUCUCGGAGUAAUUAAGCUCGGCGAACCCAAUUGACCCUCGCGUCAAGACGAGACGGCCGGGAGCUUCUGGCCGGCAGCCAGGGGAGGAGGAGCGGAAGUGCGGCACCACGGACCCUGGCCGCCGUACCCCCCCACCCCACCCACCGCUCGGACAAACGCGGAGAGGUCUGGUCGGGAACGGACGCGGUGGGACACAUCCCGGCACGCUUACGGCGCGACGAUGAACGCGGCGCUACCGGCUUCACCUGCCGCAUCAUCGCCCAGACGGCUCGCCGGGGCUGGUGAGCUUGCGGACGAGAGAUGAUGGGAGGAGGGAAUUCCCAAGUGCAGCAGUGCGAGGGAAGAAGCAGAAAGUGGAGUGACCUUCGGCGUGGCAAGUGAAUGGAAGCGCUCUCUUCCCGCGUCGCUGCCAGCAGCCGCCGUCUCUCCCAGACGGCCCCAGCUGAGUGCCGCUGCAGACAAAUGGAUUCCUCGGGCCUCGAGAUUGCAUUUUUUUUUUCAAAGUGAAUUCACAUCAUCUCCUCCCGGCGAUGCCGGGGAGAUAAAUAAAUAAACAUAUCACGGCGAGACGGGGAAACUCAACAGGUUUGCAACUGAGCACGUGCAGUAUCUCUCCCCCUCCAGCUCCCGCCACCCUCCCGCCCCCGUCAGCGACUUAAGAUAGAAAUCUCAGAGCGCCUUUUUCUGCUCUCCCCUUCAAAUUAGAGUUGGGGAGAGGCGUCGCCCGCCGCCCCCUGUUUAACAGCCAGCACCUGGGGGCGAUAUGGUGGAGAUUCCACCGGCCUAUGACGGGGACGGGUAUGUCCACAGAACAACAACCGUUUAUAAA